rnacentral:rRNA from 1 species
AUUGAACGCUGGCGGCAGGCCUAACACAUGCAAGUCGAACGGUAGCACAGAGAGCUUGCUCUCGGGUGACGAGUGGCGGACGGGUGAGUAAUGUCUGGGAAACUGCCCGAUGGAGGGGGAUAACUACUGGAAACGGUAGCUAAUACCGCAUAACGUCGCAAGACCAAAGUGGGGGACCUUCGGGCCUCACACCAUCGGAUGUGCCCAGAUGGGAUUAGCUAGUAGGUGGGGUAAUGGCUCACCUAGGCGACGAUCCCUAGCUGGUCUGAGAGGAUGACCAGCCACACUGGAACUGAGACACGGUCAGACUCCUACGGGAGGCAGCAGUGGGAAUAUUGCACAAUGGGCGCAAGCCUGAUGCAGCCAUGCCGCGUGUAUGAAGAAGGCCUUCGGGUUGUAAAGUACUUUCAGCGGGGAGGAAGGCGGUGAAGUUAAUAGCUUCACCGAUUGACGUUACCCGCAGAAGAAGCACCGGCUAACUCCGUGCCAGCAGCCGCAGUAA